rnacentral:rRNA from 1 species
CAGUCGCCGCGGAAAACGUAGGGUGCAAGCGUUAAUCGGAAUUACUGGGCGUAAAGCGUGCGCAGGCGGUUAUAUAAGACAGAUGUGAAAUCCCCGGGCUCAACCUGGGAACUGCAUUUGUGACUGUAUAGCUAGAGUACGGCAGAGGGGGAUGGAAUUCCGCGUGUAGCAGUGAAAUGCGUAGAUAUGCGGAGGAACACCGAUGGCGAAGGCAAUCCCCUGGGCCUGUACUGACGCUCAUGCACGAAAGCGUGGGGAGCAAACAGGAUUAGAUACACCAGUAGUCCCUGUCUCUUAUACA